ensembl:lncRNA
GGAAAACACUGCACCAAGACCACACACCUUCUACUUCCUCUUCGCAUCAUCUGUGUAGUCGGCCCACUCUGCUCCUAGAGGAGACCAACUCCUUCACUCCAUCAAGCCUGAAGCACUGGCUGCUGCUGGGACAAGGGUAAACGUCCUUCUCCGGCUCCCGGGCAGCUUGCUGCUGUGAAUGACCCUGCUGGGACUUCCAUGCGUCUCUUCCUCUGAGGGAGCUGGUGAUCUGUGAGCCCUUCUUACUGCAAAGCUUCUCGUUUGGGGGAGUGGAGGGAGGAGAUCGACCAAAAUCACUGACCAGAGGAGGCACCUCUGUCCUUUUCCAAGGGCUCUGAAAGCUCUUCAAGCUUUGCUACCCCACCUCCGCCCUCCCACCACCCUGCUCCACUAGCCAACACUGACUUUCCACCCAAACUCAACCUCUCAAGCCAGACAUUUCCUUCCCAACAAUGCUUUUCAAGUGAAUUCAUGAAAUUCCUUUGUUUGCAAGUCAUAGAAACUGACUUGAAUGAACUAAAGGGAAUAAAAAAAAAGUGGCCAGAAAAAUCUUUUCUUGAGAUGAUCUUGUUUUUCUUGGCACCCUGAGGGUUCCUUCUCCAGGAAAGGGAACUUUCCCCUGUCCACCUCUGACUCCCAGCACAUAUGCAGUGAUUGCGAUAUUCAGCCCAUGGCUCCUCCAACACCCACAUGCACCUCACUCCGCCAGAGAUGAAGAAUCACAGACCUGUGGUGGCACUGCGAUGAAGACCCUUGGUGGGAGGUCAAAUGAAGUCUUCUCUGGGGUCAGCUUGGAAAAAAGAUGGAUUGGAGUAAGAGAAACUCCCUUUCCUACAAGAGGAGAGAGCCAGUCACUGCUUGAUCUACACCUUCACAAUCGCUGAAGUUGGGUCUGCAACAAGAAUCUUACGGUGCAGAGGUCG